UACGGAGGGUGCAAGCGUUAUCCGGAUUCACUGGGUUUAAAGGGUGCGUAGGUGGGCCGGUAAGUCAGUGGUGAAAUCUCUGGGCUUAACCCGGAAACUGCCGUUGAUACUAUCUGUCUUGAAUGUAGUGGAGGUGAGCGGAAUAUGUCAUGUAGCGGUGAAAUGCGUAGAUAUGACAUAGAACACCCAUUGCGAAGGCAGCUCGCUACACUAUUAUUGACACUGAGGCACGAAAGCGUGGGGAUCAAACAGG
rnacentral:rRNA from 1 species